UACAGAGGUCUCAACCGUUGUUCGGAUUCAUUGGGCGUAAAGGGUGCGUAGGCGGCGCGGUAAGUCGGGUGUGAAAUCUCGGAGCUUAACUCCGAAACUGCAUUCGAUACUGCCGUGCUUGAGGACUGGAGAGGAGACUGGAAUUUACGGUGUAGCGGUGAAAUACGUAGAUAUCGUAAGGAAGACCAGUGGCGAAGGCGGGUCUCUGGACAGUUCCUGACGCUGAGGCACGAAGGUCAGGGGAGCAAACGGG
rnacentral:rRNA from 1 species